AUCUUUUUUAUUAAUAUGAUCUUUUAAAAAAAAUUAUGCUGUUAUCCCUAAGGUAAUUAAUUUUAUUAAUUUAAAUUUUAAGAUAAUUUAUUCAAUAAUUUUUGUUAUUUUUAUAAAAAAAUUUAUUAAAUUUUUUUAUUACCCCAAUUAAAUUUAUUUUUAAAAAUUUAUUAAUAAUUAUUAUUUAUUUUUAAAAUUAAAUAAAAUUCUAUAGGGUCUUGUCGUCUUUUUUAAAUAUUUAAGUUUUUUUACUUAAAUAAAAAAUUAAAUUUUUUUAAUUGAUAGAGUUAAUAUUUCAUUAAAUCGUUCAUUCUAGUUUUUAAUUAAAAAACAAAUUAUUAUGCUACCUUUGUACAGUUAUUGAUUCUGCAGCCAUUUAAUUUUAAUCAGU
rnacentral:rRNA from 1 species